rnacentral:rRNA from 1 species
CAGUCGCCGCGGGAACACGGAGGGAGCUAGCGUUGUUCGGAAUUACUGGGCGUAAAGCGCGCGUAGGCGGUUACUCAAGUCAGAGGUGAAAGCCCGGGGCUCAACCCCGGAACUGCCUUUGAAACUAGGUGACUAGAAUCUUGGAGAGGUCAGUGGAAUUCCGAGUGUAGAGGUGAAAUUCGUAGAUAUUCGGAAGAACACCAGUGGCGAAGGCGACUGACUGGACAAGUAUUGACGCUGAGGUGCGAAAGCGUGGGGAGCAAACAGGAUUAGAUACCCGGGUAGUCCCUGUCUCUUAUAC